UUCUAGGUGCUAUCUUCAUCUCCCGAGAU
rnacentral:sRNA from 1 species